AGUAUAUAUAUUUCCAUAUAUCACAUAUACACAUUAUUUCUAGUAUAUAUAUUUCCAUAUAUCUUUUUUACAAAAGUUAAAUUUCAUUUUAUGAGUGUAGUCUUUUUUAUUACAGGCUUCUCUAGUGUGUAUGUUUUAAUCAAUAUAUGCUCAUUUCUACUAGAAAAACAGCUUCAGAAACCUGUUUCCAUUUAAACAGUAGAUGUCUGAAAAAUACUGUCUGCAGGGGAAAGAUGACACUUUCAUUAGUUUUGGCCUGUCAUCCACCUUCUGCCAUUUUUUAGAAUCCUUUUGUCCAGCAUGCUGAGGCUCUGGGGCCCUCAGAUUAUUCUCUAGAGUAAUUCCUCUAUAGCUUUUCUCUUGAGAUCUAUCUUCAGUCUCAUGACAGAGAGAGCUCCCGAAAUACUGGUUUUCUCCAAUGGCAUUUCUUACACUGCCAAGCAUAGUGUUCUUCCUGAGGGCAUUUGAAUGUUUGUGUGUGUUUAUGGAGAGGACUAGUAAUGCAUUUAUUACUAUAAUAACAAAAUUACUUAAUAGAUCAAUAGUUCAUUGAUCAAUAUAAAAUUUUCUUUGAAGUUUAAUAACUGGUUUUGGUGAAUAUGUAUAUAUUUAUAAGGCUUUAUAAUACUCCUCCCCAAUCUCAGGUUUCCUGUCAUUGGCAUUUUAAUAUAUCUGGCUUUAUUUCUAAAUAUCUUUUUGGCAGCUAUAAGAUUCUCAGUUUUAAUAUGUACUAAUGAUAAUUGGAAAAAAAGGGGAUUUGGAGAUUUAGAAGAGAAAAAGAAAGUUCGUGUCCGACAGAGUGAAUGUAAGGUUUUUGUAGUGAAGUCUUGGAAAAGAAGAUGCUGAAAGGAGGGAACAGAGACCCAAGCCUUGAGACCUGUGAUCUUGCAGCUGCUAAAAGAGAGGGAGCCAAGCUGUGUUCUCAGGUUGCCUCAGUGAGAACUAAUGACAGGCAGGGUCCACUAUUGUCAGUUAUCAAAUCCAGAAAGCACUGAACUUUGCACGGAGAAGGAGGAACAGAAAGAAGAGGGUGUUAUAUUCAAUGAAACUAAAUUAAUUGCAAACAUAUAAUUAAAAUGUGGCAAAAAAUCCUGAUAAUUUCUGGAAGUACAAAGAACGACAAAUGGAAGUUUACUGUGCAGUCCCCUUUGUUCCUGUUUUAAGGUGUGCACCAAGUGAUUCAGUUGGAUGGUGGUAUUUUAGAGAAUAGAAAAGUGCACAUGAAGGCCUUUAUAACUUCAUUUGUGAUCUUUUGCUUUCUCCUCACCUCUAUAUCACCUCUACAUUCAUUUUUCAACUGCCAAUUUUCUGCCACAGAAAUUCUCAGGACCCCAACUCUUAGGUCUGAGAAUAAGUAAUUAGUAAUUUAGUAGUCACAAAAGUAAAAAUGGAUCACAUUCUAAAUAUUCAGCUAAAAGCCAGCUAAAUGUUUGGAAUUAAGAAGCAUAGCUAUAAAUAAGAUGGCAAAUCAAGUCCCUGGUCAGACUUGAAAUGCUCAUUCAACAUCCAUCGAGCAAAUAGUCUAAGUUUUUUUUUAUUUGGAAUCAGAAGGAAGAGGAAGAGAAAAAUGGUUUCCUUUCCUGAUCCUGUCACAGGUUUUUAGGAAAAUUUUGAAAUAGAAGUUCUUUCAAAUAUCCUCCCACCUUCUUUCUGUGCUCUUCUCCCAUCUCCUAAUAGUGCUCAUCCCAGGUGCCCUGAUCUUAACACGCCCAUGCUGCCUUGUGCUCCUCACCAGGGCAUUCUCCUGAGGGAUAUCUCACUGUCCCACGGAGAGCCACAAAGGGCAGUCCAGAACUGGCUUCCUUCUUUUCCAUACCCUUUCACAAAACUUACCUUACAUUUGCAGGGCAGUGUGAGUGGACGCUACAGGCUCAACUCUUUUAGAAGGGUUUGUGUUCUGAAAAUAAGAGGUUUGAUAACUCAAAUGCCUAUCUAUGUAGUGGAAGCUUAUAUCAAUAAAUGGGAGAAUAUACACAAAGCACUGAGCUCAGUGCCAGGAACUUUCUAAAUGUUAAUUCUCAUCCAAUUCCUAAUGUAACAAAGUGAAAAUUUUAAAAAAAUUGAAAAAAAUUGCAGUGUGGGGAAGAUAUUAUGAUGCAUGGUGUGUCUGCAUGUGUCGUAUUUUAGACCUCGAGAGGAACGUAGGAUCAGGGUGGAAAACAUGGCUGUGUGUGGGAGAAGGUGGGGCUCACGGAAUUUAAAUAUAGUAGUUGUAGAUUUCUUAACAAGGUGGCAUUCAUAUCUUUCUUUGUUUCUGUUUUUCUUGAAGAAGUAGAAUCAUGCAUUACACAACUAUUUUCAUGUUUCUGAAAAAAUGUUUAUUUGUUUUUCUUUUGGAACAUGAUGUUAGAAUGUUAGUUGGGGGUUCUGGAGCCCUAAUAUUCUUCAACAUUUUACCUACUCCUUGAAGUGUACUAUAAGCUUUAAACUUCUUGCCACUCUUGUUGGAAUCCACAGAAGUUUAAAUUCCAUACUCUUUGGCAGUCUUUCAUACGUUUAAGUGGAGAUGGAGGAAGUCAUUUUUAUGAGUUACACUUAAGUUGGAAAUGUCUUAUAUGUUUUGCUUUAUGGUUUUGCUUGUUUCCUUAUGAACAUUUAAAAAUCUCCGAGUAUCCAGGAAGAGUGUAAUAUGUAAAGUUAGAUCAAUUUAUAAAAAAAUAUGUGAAUGGAGGGGAAGCAGUGAUGCACAUAUUUCACACUAUGCACUGUAUAUGAAGGACUGUUUUUUUCUUUUGGUGCUCCAUUCUACUUUUUGAUUUCUUUAGAGGCUACUCCACUGUCUCUGGAUAAGUUGCAUUUUCUUCUGUGCAAGUUUCUUUUGUGGAUCUUAAGAUGCUUUAAAUGUAUUAUUAAUAAGUAGCACAAUUCAAUAUUUAUGUGUCUUCCACAUUAUACAAGUCAGAGUGCAUAUUCUUUUGUAUUUUCCGUUUUAUAGGAAACAAUUUUAAUUUUUCCACUUCACUUAUCCCUUCUCAAUUGCCCGUUGAGGGUUUGGCCAUUCUAUUAAGUUUCAUUCAAUUUUCUAUUAUAAAUUUCACUUUUCUUCCAAAACCCUUCCUCCAAAGUCUGUCACUUCUCAUGUUAUUGCUCCUUCCACAGACACUCAUCAAUAUUUGAAAGCUGCUAUAUUAUGAAUUUUGGCUGCCUGAGCUCUCCGGCUUAGAUAGCGCAUCUGGUCCAUUUCUAUAUAAUUGCAUUUGACCCUUCUGACUUUUCAACAUCUGGGUGAGGAGAAAUCUUGUAUUCGUUUCAUAAAAACUGCUUUACUUUGUUUUUUCUCGUUAAUAAUGAGAUACUACAUAGUCAUUUCUUGAAAACUUUUAAAUGAAGAAGCAUUUUUUAGAAGGCUGGGUGAUUUUUUGAUAGCACAUAGAAUGAACACCUGGAAGUUAAUCUGGUUAAAUUUAGCCAGUUGUUCAGCAGAUCAAUAUCUGGUCUUUAUCCUUUGGUGGUAAUGGCGAUGGUGGGGGAGAAUCCUACUUUUUGUUCCUUAUUAUAUAAGCUACAUUAAUUCCCGAACAGCAAUCUUGUUUUUUUCUGAAAGAUUUUAAAAUAGUUAUUAAUAGAUGUUCAUUAUAGUAAUAGUAGGGAACAGAGGAAAACAAAACUAAAAAAAGGGAAAGUACCGUUUUCCUUUCCAAAUAAUAGUUAUUAAAAUUUUGGAGUAUAAUCUCCUAAAAUUUUAUAGGCAUAUCUAAAUAUUUUUCUUUAAAAUAUUAAAUCAUAUCGUAAAGAACAAUCUUUUGAAAUUCCGAAGUCUGUCACUAUUUGAAUUUGUAGCGUAGAAUGUUCCCUUAAUUUCUAGCGGAUGGAAAUGACAUCAAAUAAGUUCAUUAUGGACUCAAUUAGGGACUAAGUAUAUUGUGUUAAUAUGAGGUUAGAAACUAUGACAACUCCAUUUUGCUUCAAGGUGUCAAAAAAGAAAGAUCACCAUUUACUGGGGUCUUUGGACUUGAUGUAAUCUGUAGUGAAACAGAAUAUCUAGAAAAGGUGAGAUAUAUAGAAAAGAUGAACUGUGUGUCCAUAUGUCUGGCUAUGGAAGCUUGAGCUAAACGCUUUGAAGGUGGCGUGUAGGAAAGCCUAUAUCAGUAAUAAUAGCACAGAAGAAGGUAUUGGGGCAAUGUAUUGAGUUAACACAUUUAUUCUGUCUCAAUUUAUUUAAAAGGGCAUGCCCACUGAAGUCUACUCAGUGUAAACAACCCUACCCAUUCCUCUUAUUACUAUUGGAAUUCCUUAGUUCUGAAGGGCUCUUUGUUCACACACAACAUUCUUUAUGGCAGUCUAAAUUGGUUUUUAUCAUUUGCUUAGAUUCUGCUGAUUAAGGAAAUUGUGCAACUUCAUAAAAGAUGAAGAUUCUUUUUCCAUUAAAGAUGUAUUAUAUGGAGAACAGAGGGAAUGAAUAUGAUCAAGUGUAUCUCAUGCCUAUAAAUCCUUUUUCUGUAAUAAGAUAAAUAACUAUAUAUAUUUUUGUUUUCAUGGUUGCCAAGUCUGAUGAGUAAAUUCAUGGUGAUGUCACUUAUUGACUUAUUUACUUUUUAAGUGCUAUGUGAGAAAAACCUCCUAUUAGCAGAUUUAGCCAGUUCUGUUGCUAACACGAGGCAAAAUCCAGUUUUUAAAAUUCCAGCUCCACAUGAUUCUACACAGUGGUGGUUAAAUAUGCCAUGAUGGCUUUCAGAUAGCGCCUUAGGAUGGUGCUGGACUGAAAUGAGCUUAAUUUCCUCUUGGCGUUUACCUUCUAAUUGUUUAACAGUUCAUCGGUAAUAUUCUUUUCAAAUAGUAGGGUUUCUAGAAGACAGCGCAUAGCUCAGUGUAGACUGGUACUGGGAUAUUUCAGUUAAAAUAUUUCUGAAAUAUUUGGAAACUGAGAAAAUAGUGUAAGAGAUUCAGCAUAAAAUGAGAAAGUAACAACAAAUAUCAAAUGCAUCAAAUUAAUAAUGAAAUUACAAAAUUGUUUAGAUAAAAAUGAAUUUGCUGAAAUAUAAAAUUACCCAUUCCUUUUCCUGUUAUGAUGUUUGAAAGUCGGGAAAUAUUGCCUGCUUUGGUUUAAAUCUGCAAUGAAAAAUCAAACUUUGUCACUAAUGUAGUUGUACCAUUUUCAGGAUUAAUGGAGUUUUGGUUUUCAAGAGAGUACCAAUUAUUGAGAUCUGCAAGGACCUGAAAUGGCCAUGACUUUCCUGUCUGUUCUUUAACAUUAUUGACUUUACACUUGUCUCUGAGCUUCUCUUCUGAGUACUUUCAGAGUACCUUAUAGUUGUCAACUCAGGGCAGACUUCAUAUCCCCAAACCUUGCCUUGAAUAAAGUAGGUCUGGAUCCUUCAGGUUAGACAAUUGGUUCUCAUGAUCUUAAAAGAUGUCUGGAAGAAGAUGACUCCUCAAGGUCAGGAUAGGGAAAAAUCCUUAUGUUUCCAUAGUCUUUAAACUUAUAUACAAGAAAGAUAAGACCCAUUUGAGAAUAUGUCAUUAAUAGAUGCUGUGUACCGGGCAUACUAUAUGCCCAUUUUGUUCUACAAAUAACAUUGUGAGGUGAGUGUUUUAUAGAAGAGGAGACUAAUGCUCAGAGUGGUUAAGUGCACUCCUCAUGGUUUCACAGCCAGAAAGUUAGCAGAAUUGGUAUCACACCCAAACUGAGCCGAGUCCAAGACCUGUGUAUAUUUCCAUGCUACCUCUGUUUGUGAUGUGAGGAGGUAUGCAAAUUAGUUUAGUAAAUGCCUGGGAGGUAAUGAUGCAUAUUAUAAAAAUAAAACAAGCUUACUCUCUGGAGGCUAGAUUGACCGUGAAUGUGUGUGCCCCAUCAAAGGCCUUGUUAAAUAAAAGUAUGGGUUUGUAUUUAUGUGUGAAGAAGAUCCUCAGAGACCAACACAUCUGCCAGCCAGGCCUUGCUUCCUGAGUUAACGCUGAUUCCAUUCUGAGGCAGGGACUGGUACCGUAAUGUGACAGUCUGACACUCAGAUUGUGUUUCAUUCUAGAAAAUGUGGCCUAAUUUGUCUAAUCCUUCCUAACUUGUUUCUGUAGAGUGACUUCAGGCUUGACAGACACCAAUGCUUUGGAAUGCCACUGUGAAGAGCUCUUUUCUUCAGACUUUUCAUCUACCGAAAUGUUGAUUAUUCUAAUCAUGCAAUUGCACAGUAGAAAAUCUUCUACAGAGAUGAAUAGAACUGUUUAGGCAUAGACACGCUUUUUUUGUUUUUUUUUUUAAAUCUGAGACAAAGACGGAGAUAGUUCCAAAAAAGAAGUUGACUUACUGGUUCACCCUCCGGUAAUCUCCCGGUCAGCAUCUAGCUCUGCCAUGCGGACUAAGAGCGCAAUUCAUCUUGUUGAUGCGAGUCCUACUUUGAAACUUGUGCUUGUACUUGGAGAUGAGCCUUAUUGGUCAGAUAGCAAUUUGGUUAAAUGAAUUUAAUCUGUUUCUCACUCUAUAAGCCUUACCUAAUUUCAUUCUCCACAGAGAGGGAAUUCUGGUAGGGGCACUUCUGUAGCCUCACCAAAGUGUCUGGCAGGAGAAAUUUCCAUCUCUAGAUUGAGGAAGAAGCUCAAAAGGACAAAGGCCAGUUAUGUUCAGAAGAGAUUAAUGACUACGCACUUGCUAUCAUGGAGAACAAAUUCCAUUCCUGAAUGCAAAGCAAGGUAAGAAGGGAGCAGGGCCUCUCUCCUCUCUUGUCUAUAACUAGAAUAAGAAUUCAGACAUCAUAUAUCUUCUUUAAUGAAGAAUUAUUUGUAAGUAACUCGCUCAAAUUCUCUGUAAGUGUUAAUUAACUUAGAACCUGCCUGCCUAGAAUGCUUAUAGUUUUAAUUUUAUUCCAAAUAAUAAAAGUUUGAAACCAAAAGAAUAAAUUACUUUUGUUAAUGCAACAGCAUUUUUAGCGGCAUAGACAUUUUCAUGUAUAUUAUACACGACCAGUGUUUCCCACUAAGAAAAAGUAAUAUUUUGGGAAACUUUACAUUAUAAUUUUUCCAUUUAUUUGCCCACUUUACCGUGGUUUGGGGUCUCAAUAUAUCAGGGAUCAAAUUGGAUUUAGUUGGGCUUUUAUUUUAGCAGAAAGAUUUCUGUAGAAAAUAGCAAAUAGAUAUGUGGAUGUGGAUUGUGCUUUUUCCUUUUUCCUAAAUAUUUAUUACAUCUCUGCCUCAGAUCCCAAACUGGGUGCCUAGUGCCUCAGUACACUGCAGUAAAUUCACAGGGGUGUGGCAGGAUAUUUUAAAUGUUUGAAGGAAACAGCAACACUCAACAUCUGUUGGAUACUGCAUGAACUAGUGGAUCAAGGUAGUUCACAGUUUUGACUUUACAUUGAACUGUAUUCUUUUUAAUUAUGUCAUAUCUUGCUGUGAUAAAAAAUAAGUACCUAGGGAAAAUCAAUGUGUAGCAGUGUUGGAGGGGGUCAUUGAGAGGACGUCACCACCAGUUGACCCACGAGCUGGACAGUGCAUUUGGAGGCUCCUCACCCCCUUCCCUGUCCAUGGAGUGUACAUUCCGCACCACAUUCCCACUCUGGGAGCUGUUUCAAGAUGUGACCUUGAGAGAGUACGGUGUUGUUGAGGCCAUUUGGACCAUACACGUGAGUGAACCCAGUGACGGCCACUAUAUAAACUGUUACGAUUCUAGUGUGUGCAAGUGAAGAUCUGCUAAUCUUGCAGCCACCCAAGACAAGGGCAAGUUUCUUCGCUUAUUUUUAAUUUUUUUUUUUAGGAAGAUUAGCCCUGAGCUAACUACUGCCAAUCCUCCUCUUUUUGCUGAGGAAGACUGGCCCUGAGCUAACAUCCACACCCAUCUUCCUCUACUUUAUAUGUGGGACGCCUACCACAGCAUGGCUUUUGCCAAGUGGUGCCACGUCCACACCCAGGAUCCCAACCAGUGCACCCUGGGCUGCGAGAAGUGGAACGUGUGAACUUAACCGCUGCGCCACCGGGCCAGCCCCUCUUUGCUUAUUGAUCUGGAGUGGUCCGCCUCUUUCUUCAGUCUCUCCUUGCCCUCCAUGUACUGAUUAACAAGCCGGUUUGCAAACUAACAAGCAGCAAAUGAGGGUGGUAGAGUCUGAACUGAUUUCAAAGUUUAAGAAGCUAUGUAAUGCCCAUGAAAUGCACACACCACUUUGGUAAAUGUGAAAAUACCUUUUUCUUUCAAGUUAUAUGUAUUAUUUGUUCCAGCGUCUACUAAAAUGUUAGAACAUAAAUAUUUGUUGUCAUUUGUAUUCUAACCUGAAUAAAUGGAAUGGUUAGAUAUUUCCUUCAGUCUAGGGGUGCCAUUAAACUACUGAGACAAGAGGGAUGCUGUGAAUUAAGUAAGUCUGGGGUCCUUUGAUCUAUGCCAACAACGUAGUGAUAGAUGGGAUCAUAAUAGCUUAUGGAGGAAAAAUAGUUUUGCGGUUUGGGUUCUUAACCAUUUUUUUAAUAAGAUUAGAAAAUUUAUUUCAAUAUUCUUAUCAAAGACCAAAUUGGGAAAUUAUACUAGACUUCUCUUUAACUGCUAUUUAGUCUGUUAUGAAGAGUGAUGCAAUAAACAUUCAAAAUAAUGUGGAAUAAAUGAACAAAAGUGUAUGAAUUAUGCUUAACUACAAAAUAAUUGUUUCAAAUAAUCAGAUUCGUUUCAAUUGCCAUUAGAUUAGAUUUUAUCAUCAGAAUAUUUCAAAAAAUUUAGGACAUUGUCCAAGUAACUGAGUUCAAACAAGCAAACAACCUGUAUUCUCCUAUAUGUCAAUAGCAUAUUAUUUUGGUGGUGGAGAAAAAAGUACCUGGUAUAUGUCGUCACCUUAUGCUAAGAGGUGAUAACUUGUGUCUAUGUUUCCAUUCUGAUUUCCAGUUCUAAUUCCAGCUGCUCCUGUCAAAGAGGGAACAAUAUGAAAAUAAUCAUUGAAAUAAAAUGCACACAGGGGAUCAAAAUGCAAAUUACUCAGAAAGAUGUAAAAUAAAAGGGAAAAUUUUCCUCCCCAGAACCUGUUGCAUUCUACCCCAAAGUAUACUCCAUUAAUAAUUUUUUGUUUUUAGACUCUGAGAUGGCCCAGUGAUCUCCAGCUCCUGACAUUCAGGUGCUUGUGUACUCUCCACGCUCUUGAGUGUGGGCAGCAUCUGUGACUUCCUUCUAAACAAUAGAAUGUGUCAAAGGUGAUGGGAUGUCACUUUUGUGAUAGUUACUUAAGUUUAUAACUUCUGUCUUGCUCACAGAUUCAACAGAUUCUUUCACUUGCUGGCUUUGAUGGAGUAAGCUGUCAUAUGGAGAGUCCCAUGUGGAAGGAAUUAAGGGUCACCACUUGCCAACAGUGAGCAAGGAACUGAGGCCCUCAUUCAGAAAAACUGCAAGGACCUGAAUCCUGCCAACAGCCAUGGGAACUUGGAAAUGCAUCCUUCCCCAGCUACAAGCCGUUUCCUCUGACUCCAGUGCAUGUUCAUCUCCUCCUCGGUUUCCUGUCAUUGAGGCAACUGAUGCUGUUUCAUGAGAUCUCAGGCCAAUCCUACUCCUCCUGGGAAGCCCUCUCUGAUGUCACCGACCAGAUAGAGUCCCUCUAUUUUACACUCUCACAGGGCUCUCAGGAGGCUGAGCCCAUGUUGUCACUCAGAGACCCAGGUUUCAGCACCAUCUGGCUGCCCCAUCUGGAACCCUCAGCCUAAUUAGUUCCUCAGUACCCAUCGUGGGGAAGAGAGAGGACUAUAGAAUUUCACGUGAGGUUCAUUGUCUUGGAUUGGAAGCCGCACCUGUUGAUGUCACUACAGCUUCACUGGCAAGAAAUAGUUGCAUGACUUCACCUAAUCGCGGAGAGGCUAGGAAAUGGGAGGGAACAAUGGAAUAUUUGGUGAGUAAGUCUGCCAUAAAAUUCUCUUUCUAUGCAUCAGCACCAGCAGACUACCUUUAAGGACAUGGAUGAGGCAGAUGGUUUGAGAUAGGUAGGAACUGGAGCAUUAGUGUUUUGUAAGUUUAAUGCUAAGAUGGGCAUGUUAUUAUAACAUUUGGAAAUUUUGUUAAAGACAAGUAGAGGACUGAUUGCGAACUUACAAGUUUAAAUCCCAGAAAUGGAUUUGUCAUAGAACAUUAUGGCAAAGAUGUCUCACCUUUUAUAAUAUAAAUUACUCUGUUUUUCUUAAGGUGAAGGCCUGUAGAUAUUUUAUUUUGAUCCAUUCAUAAUGGAAAUGGGUCUUAAGAUCUCAUCAUUACUUAUGUUCAUUUUAUCUAUUUAAAUUUAAAUCACCUCACUUCAAGUAUUAAUGUAUAAUUUUUUUUCUACACAUGUCAUUGCUGCUGUAAUUUCGUUAAUCCUUCUGGUUAUGGAGUAAUUAACGUGGGCCAUUUACCUUUCAAAAAUGUCUGUUCACCAUUAUGUCACAAGUUGAAAGUGCUUUAAGAAAACUGAAGCCCAGAGGUAUCAGGUGACUUGUCCUAUGUUUAAUAAUUUUCUACUUUGUAACAACAGACACUCUUCUAGCAGUUAAUGGACUGAGAUUGGUGGGUGCAGACAUUAGUAAGGAAUGGUCUUGACACUUGCGGAUUUCAUUUUAUCGCAGCGGCUCCCAAACUUCACUCUUUAUAACAACCCCUUGGGCUGCUUGUGAGAAACGUAGUUUCAUUGGUUUCCCGCAGGGCUUUGGGUUCAGUGCGUGUGGGGGAGGGAUCUACAUUUUGACAAGCAUGUUCCACGUGACUAUGAUGCAGGUGACGUACCAACUUUUGGCUUAAUGCUGGUUUACUAAAUCACACACACCAGUCUUAUUCUCUCUCCUACUGUUCUAUUCUACUGAGGGGAAAAUUUGGAGGAAUUUAUCACAUAGAAAUAUUUCUUUCUGUGUCAGAGCUCUUACAGGUUGGGUUCUUACAGUUGCAAACAAUAUAAAUUAACUCUGGCUGUUUGAAGCAGGAAAGAAAUUUAUUAAAGGGAAUUGAAUAGCUCCGAGUCCUCGGGGAGGGCUGGAGAACCAGGCACAGAGACUAAGCAAGGGAAUGAUGCCUAAAGUCUACUUCAGUGUUGCUCCAGAGGAUAAACCAUUGUCGCAUGCCUAGGCACGGAUCUGUAGCUCAUCCAGAUGAUACUCUCAACUCUGAGUGCUAGAAGCUACUGCUAGAAUCUCUACUCCAGCUGCCCCAGCCAGGUCUAGAAACUGCAUGUAGCUGCUGUUGCUCUCCCUAGGAAGGAUUACAUGCGGGGCCUGCUUUACUGGGUUGACUCCAAGACCAGCCUGUCUCAUCUGAUUGGCAGAGCUUGAUCACAGUCUGCACCCAGCUCCAGGGCAGGUCAGGAAAGGAAUAUCUGGCUUCUGCAGUGGGAGGUGUUCUCUGCCUGCCACCAAGAAUCAUGAGGUAAUGAUGCUCAAAGAUACUAUGUUGCCAAAAAGAACAACAGAAGAUCUACACCACAUUUAUCCUAUUUGAAUUUAGGAACACAGACAACUUUCUUGUCCUACAUUGCUGAUUGUUAGUUUAUGGUGUUGAAUUAAUGGUCCUAUGAUUGAAAAUGAGUUUUUAUUGCAUGCAAAUUUCAGCAUAUAAUUUAUAAAGAACUAUUUUAAAAGAGAUGUUUAGUUUUAUAUCCUUCUGACUUAGGAAUAUUUCAUUUCAAGAAUAACUCUAAUAUCCAUGUUGGUUGAAAAAACAAUUCUCUCUCUUCUACCUCAGGGAAAAUUUGGUAAAGAAAGGAAACCUUUUCUGAGAAUUUUGUGGGAGAAAUUAGUGUGAAACAGGAGAAAAAAAUGUCUCCUUCCAGAGAAGACAUACUAUUGAGCUACAAAAGAUUUUCUAUCGUGAGAGAGAACUUGGCUGACUCAGGGUGUACAUAGUGAUUUUCCCAAUGUGUUCCUUGCAUCAGAGCAUGUGAGAGGCUUUGAUUCCUUUGGACAGGAUGUGCUCCACAGAUAGGUUUUAUUCUUUGCCCUUAAGGUUUUUUAUUGCUAGGCAAUGAAAUAAGAAGUGUACUGGGGGAAGAAAUCCUCAAUGUGGUAGCUUUAAAACAGGAAAAAUGGAGCAAUCAGUAAAAAAUGCUUUACUUAUUCAUUUGGCAAAUAUUUAUUGAGUGUCUACUCUAGAAAAAUGUUUAUCACAUGUUUACUACCCUCAAGAAGAAGCUCACAAACAAGUGGGAACCCAGCAAUAAUUGGAUUGUAAAAAUACAUACAAGAUGAAAACAUGGGGUGCUAUGAGAGUAGAGAUAAGGCAUAUUUAACUUAAAAUGGGAGGUGACAAAGCUGGCUUUAUAGAAUCAAUAAUUCUUCUGAGUAUCAUAAAGGCUGAGAAUGAGUUAGCCAGCAGAUGGUGGGUAUGGGAUGUAUUACAGAGAAUAGCAUGCGCCAGAGGCAGGCAUGGCUGUAGCACAACAUGGCACGGAUGCGUGAAAAGACAUUUAGGGAAACUGGAAGAAGAAGAGACCAUGAUAUGGGACUAGCAGAGCUAAGACUCAAGGGACAGGUCAACUGGGGCCAACUCCGUUGUCCUGAGGACAACGGAGAACCACUGAAGUAGUUAAGUUAGAUAUGUUAGUGAUCUGUUUGAAGGCCGAGAAAUGGGAUGAUGGAUGAUGAGGGUGGGAAUGAGUUUUUAGAAUGUUUCAGUAAUCCCAUCGGGAAAAGAUAAGGCCAUAAAUUAAAGUUAGAGAAAAUGGGAUGGAUUCCAAAGAUACUUAUAUAGAGAAUUGAUGAAGCAUAAACACUAAUCGCAUGUAGGGAGUCCAGGAAAGGGUUUAGUCAAAGAUAAUUCCCAGACACGUAAUUUGAACAACUAAAUGGGUAGUGUUGCCACUCUUCAAGACAGAGUAUGUCUUUGGGAGAAAGAAAUUGAAUUUCGCUUUGGGUGUGUAUUGAGGAGGACAUCCAAAGGGAGAUGUACCCUUGGUACAGGUGGCUAUAUGGGAAUGGAGAUCAAGAGAAAGGUCAAGCCAGAGGUAUGGAUUUCUCAGGUUUUAGGUUGUAGUUGAAGCCACUGGUGAAGGUAAGGCUGCGCAGUGAGAUUGUGAGAAAGAGGGCAAAGAAUGGAAUCCUGAGAUUACCAGCGCAUGAAGAGAAGAUUGAGGUGCAGGCCGUGAAGGAAACUUGCAGCAUCACUGUAGGGAGGAACGCUUAUCAUCUUCCCCAUCAGCUCCCUUUGCCUCCACACUCAUUCUCCCAGGUAAGUCAGCCUAAUCCCUAACCCACUUUCUCUAAUUUUGAGAUCUGCUUCACUGCAUAAAGGGACUGUUUCUGUUUGCUCUCUGCCUUAGGGUAAGAGGCUUGUCUCUGUGGAACAUCCUGAGGCUGUCCAGCUGGGCUGGAGCCUUAUGAGUGAACAUGUUCAUUCAAAGUGAACUAUUAAUAGACCUCCUUGACUGCAUUUCUGAUCAGUGAUUCUCAACUGGGGGAGAUUUUGCACCCCCCCCCCCCCCCCCCCACCGAGGGACAUUUGGCAAUGUCUGAAGAUAUUUUUGGUUGUUAUAAUUAGGGGGAGGGAGAGAGUGCUAUUGACACCUAGUGGGUAGAAGCUAGGGAUGCUGCUAAACAUCCUACAAGGCAUAGAGCAAACUUCCUCCCUAACAGAGAAUUAUUUGGCCCAACAUGUCGACAGUGCCGAGGUUGAGAAACUCUUAUCUAAAUCAUAUUCUUCAAUAAUGUAUGUUAAUAAUGUAACGUAAAACAAUAGUGUAAUGUUAAUACAAAUGUUUGGCUCCUGAGUCUGUCUCUGUUUGGCUACAGAGUUUGGUGGGGAAGAGAAUGGCAUUAUGUCUUGGGCCCCCUAAAACACCAUCAAAGAGUGGCCAGAAGAUAGGAGAGAAAGCAGGGAAAGGGUGUCCUGGAAACCAGGAUGAUGGUGUGCUUAAGAGGGAGAGGCCUUCUUGGUAAACUGCUUCUGAGAGGUCUAGCAAGGCAGGGACUGAAAAGAAUUUUUAAGAUUUAACAUUUGUGACUUCCCUAAUGAUCUUCAGAGGCGUUUGGGUGAGAAGAUGAAGCUAGAGCAGAUUUCCUUGAGGAGCAGAUGAAUGGUGAGGAAAUGGCAACAGCCGGUGCUAUGUUCUCUUUCUCUGGCUGUUGCGGAGAAGCAAGAGAGAAGAUGAUAGUUGUAAGGGAAAGGGGGAAGGUUGAACACAUUUGUGUAAUAAAUGGAGAGGCUAGCAGAGAGGGGAUGUCUGAAGACCAGGCAAAAGAGGAGAAACAUGUGGAGCAACGUCCCUGAGGAGGUCAGAGGGAGGGAAAAUCCAGAGCACAAGUGAGAGGACUGGCUUUGCUCUGGAGGAGGGAUUUCUCUUCCGUGAAUAUGAAGAUGUGGGAGAAAGUAAGCAGAUGCAAUUGGCUUUGUGAAACUGAGGCCUUCUUGGGGUGGGGAGAGGAGGAAGAGGCAGCUCCCGCAGAUCUCCCUCCUCAGCUUCUUUUCAGACUUGCUGAACUAAAAAGGUGGUACCAUUUUCUGAGACCUCAGAGGGUGGAGGUAGAAUGCAGAGCCUGUAGGGACUGUGAAAGUUUGAAAUCAAAAUCCAAUGGAGAAAAAGCAUCACCCAGGGACCAUUCCAUUAGCUCUACUUUCUUUCUUUUUUAAAAAAUCUAAUUUGGCUUUACAUUCUUUUAAUUGAAAUAUAUUUGACAUAUACCAUUGUAUAAGUUUAAGUUAUACAACAUGCUGAUUUGAUAUAUUUACACAUUGUAAUGUGAUUACCAUUGUAGUGUUAGCUAGCACCUCUAUCACGUUACAUAACUAUCAUUUUUUUUUUGUGGUGGGAAUAAUUAAGAUCUAAUCUCUUCACAAGUUUGAUGUUUCUAGGACAAUAUUGUUGUCUAUAGUCUCCAUAUCGUGCAUUAGAUCUUCAGGACUUACUUAUCUACUAGUUGCAAGUUAGCCUUACUUUAUUAGUUUCCGAGCGGUUUCUGGGGAGACUGGGAGGGCGCGAUCUGGUCACUCACAUUUCCAAGCAAGUCAGGCUAGAAAUCUCAGGCUCUCACAUUUCUUUUCCCCAAACUGUCCUCCCGGAAGACAAGUAGAGGAGGCCAGAGGGGUAGGAUGGCGGUACUCCCACCUUCCUGCUUCUUUCCUGCCUCUCAUGACCAAAUUCCACGAACCAUCAUGCUGAGUGUCUCGCUUAGCUCCCAAAAGGUAACAUUUCCCUUGUGUGAUGUGAAUUUACCCUGCUGCCUUCCCGUAACUGCUGAGUCUUGGUACCUUAGCAGAUAACCUGUCUCAGACCCAGGUGCAUCACAUCUAGUACUUGGACUUUGGCAAACAGUAUCUCUUGCACCAGCGGUUCAGAAAGUAUGAUGACGUUGCUUGCAUCCCAAGUUGUUGGAAUUUUUAUGAGUACUUUAAUGGCCCAUAGAGACAACAGGAUGCAACAUUUGAAAUAGAUCUCAUACUGGGAUGCCCAGGAAAAGGUGGCCCUAAGGGUAACCACCUGCUUCACCUCCUUGCAAGAAUGACUUUGGAAUACUUUGCUCCACUUACUUGAAUUUCUGAAAUGCUUAUGGUACUCCUGUUCACAGCCCUACCACAAAGGGAGCUUGACUGUUUUUAUUUCCAUCUCUAAAUUCCUGCAAAGGUUUUAGAGUUAUUUUACCCACUGGUAAAUGUAAUAGGCAGUGAUAUUCAGAUAGUGCACAGUUAAGCUUGCCUUUCCUUUCUACAUAAAAGCGCAUGCUAAUGGUCGCUGGAUAAUUAAAAUUAAACCACAUUCAAUAGAUAAACAAAUUAAAGCAGAGCAAAUUGUGUGCAUGCCUCCCUAAACAGCAAACACAUUAUCAGAGAGGGCAAUUCUAAUUAUUCAAGGAUAUAGCAAGAGCUAUUGAUUUGUUUUAAGAUAGGAAAGUUUCUUCAGUAUUAAUGGAUAGUAUUUGUUUACGAGCCAAAUUCUUGGUAAUACUGAAGAAAUUAAAAAGGAAAUUGGAUCAAAGCUACCCAAACCUUACAGACUAAUAAGAACAUACCAAACAAUAGAUCAUGAUCUGCUAGUAUUUUUUCUGACUUUUGUUUUUUCGAGGAAGAUUCGCUCUUAGCUAACAUCUGUUACCAAUCUUCCUAUUUUCUUGCUUGAGGAAGAUUAUCCCUGAGCUAAUGUCUGUGCCAAUCUUCCUCUAUUUUGUAUGUGGGUUGCCACCAUAGCAUGGCUGAUGAGUGGUGUAGGUUCAUGCCCAGGAUCUGAACCUGUGAACCUGGGCUGCUGAAGUGGAACGUGCUGAGCUCAACCACUAGGCUACAGGGCCGGCUCCAACAAGUUUUUAAUCACAAGGUAACACAUGAAUUUCUUUUCUUUGUAAAAUGUUACAAUAUUUCUGACUAUCCCCAAGUAUCCAUCUCUUCUUCAGAGGUAACACUUGCUAUUGGUUUGGUGUGGAGAAUUCUAGAUGGUUUCUCAUGAAUCUUAAGUACACUUAUUCAUAUUUACCCAUACAUCUUUUACAAUGUCAUAUUGUGGACUUUUUAACUGUUUGUCUUUUGGUUUCUAGCCCAAAUGAGAUCAUGCUAUAUACACAUUUCUUGCAAAUGCAUUUAUCAUUCAAUAAUAUGCCUUAGAGAGUGUCGGUGUCACAAUCCAAUGUACACAUCAGGAUAGAUGCGUAGAGGGCUGAUGGCCACUCUGAGUUUAUUAUAACCAGCAUUUCAAUAUAUACAUAGCUUACAUCUGUUAAACAUACACAGGUGUUGUGAACAAUGUAAUUAGUGAAUGCCAAGAAUUGUUAGUGAUCUCUCAAGGAGCCCUCCCUCGGUCUCUGUUUUGAUAUUAUCAUGUUAUUGCUGUGCUCGUAUAUUUUUAUCUCGGAGCAUGCAAGGCCUCCUAGGCAAUGGCCCCUCCUGCUCCCAACAUUGUGUGUCCAUCUGUGCCCCCAGGCGACCGUGCCUGGCUUAGGUUGCCCCGCCCUGGAGGUCUUACCCGUCAUUGGCUAACUGGCCUUCUCACCUCUGGGUCACAGUUUGUUGGCAAGCCUUUUCCAGUGAUUAUUAACCCUUUCUGCGUCAGGGGUGGCUACAGAGAGUUUUGUUAAUGGUACAUACAAAUCUACUUCAAUAUUAUCCCCCAUUUCAAUUCUUUUUCCUCUUAAUAUAUUUGUAUCAAAGCAAUAAAUGUCCUUGAUUAAAAAAUCAAAAGGGACAAGAAAGGCUUAUAAUAAGAUACAACCAUCUCCUGCUCCGUGGCUGCCAGUCUUAGUCCCACUUCUCAUAGGCAACUGCUCUGAGUGUUGCCUGUGGUUAUCAUCUCCAGACGUCUAAAUAAUCUAUGGCCAUAUCAUUAUUUCAGACUCCUCAAUUUCAGACACUAUACUGACUUCCUGCUUGAUGGAAUACAAUUACCCUUACUUAUACUAUUGUUACCUUCCCUUCCCAUCUUCCCCCAGUAUGGUCCUAACAUUGCAUUUAGUUUAUUGGCUGUCUUUGUAUUUAUAAUUAAGUAUUUCAGCCUUUAUUUCUUGUCUUAUAACUAUAUAUAUUAUAUCUGGACUCCUGACUUUAUAUAAUGAUGAAGCUGCCUCUUCUUUCACCUUUCCUUUCCUUUUUAUCCUUAAAAUUCAUUUUGUAAUCACAUCCUUUACAAUGUUAUCUUGGAUUACAUGCUUUGUUUAUAAGCCAAAUCUAAAAGUUGAAAAUCAACAAAUGGCAUGUACAUUAUUUUAACUAUGCAAAUAUGCCAUGCACAGAGAGUGCACGAUCUAUGAUUUUUUAAAUAUAGCCUUCAGUUUUUGUUCCUGAUGGCAUUUUAUUUUCUUGCAUUAUUCACCUUUAUCAUAUCCUUUUUGAAAACACCUUUCAAUAAUGUAUUUAUGGAUUCUUCCUUCCCAGAGAUCUUCCUCUCAGAGCCAUCCAUUCUAUUGUUCCAAUAAGGACUAUUGUUCUCUAGGUCUGUUGCCCAACUUCUAUCCUGGGACAUCUCACUGCAUCUCUAGAAUGUUCCUCUCAUUUCUUGUUCCCAUAUCUUUUUGUUCCAGGAUAUUCUCAGGUAACUUACUAAGAAAUGGUGUGUGAGAGGUAAAUAUUCUGAGCAUGUCUGAAAAUAUUUUUUUUCCACCUUCAAACUUGAUUGAUAAUUCUAUUGGGUAAGAAUUCAAGUUUCAAAAUUACUUCCCCUUACAAUAAUGAAGGCGUCUCAUAAUGUGAGCAAUCUGAAGGCAAUCAACUUGUUAUUCUUCUGUCAGUGACCUUGUUUUUUACCUUAUCUGAAAGCCUUUAGCAUCUUUAUUCUUAGUACUGUAAGACAUCACAAGUAUUUGCCUGAGUGCGGGUGUUUUUCAUUCAAAGUGGGUUUUCAAAUUUGGAGUCUGGAAUCCUUAGCUUGUGGGAAAUUUUCUUGCAUUAUUUUUUAGAUGAUUUUUCUCUUUCAUUUUCUCUACCUCUUUCUAGAUUUUCUAUUAGAUUGGGAUGUCUGAUGCUUGGGUCAUAUGGAUUAAUUCUCCGUCUAUAUAUUUUUUUCAUUUCUCUGCCUUUUAUUCUCCUUCUUGGAAUAUUUCUUUGACUUUAU
rnacentral:lncRNA from 1 species